UCGAUCACAUCACUCGACCAUG
rnacentral:siRNA from 1 species